rnacentral:rRNA from 1 species
CAAUAGCGUAUAUUAAAGCUGUUGCGGUUAAAAAGCUCGUAGUUGGAUUUCUGUCAAGGACGACUGGUCCGCCCUCCGGGUGAGCACAUAGUUUGGUCUUGGCAUCUUGCUGGAAACUGUUGCUGCGCUUGGUUGUGUGGUGCAGCUUUCAGCACUUUCACUUUGAGGAAAUUGGAGUGUUUCAAGCAGGCACAUGCCUUUGGACACAGUAGCAUGGAAUAAUUAGAUUGGGCUUUUGCUCCAACUUGUUGGUUCCUGGAGCUGAGGUGAGAAUCAAUGGGGAUUGUUGGGGGCAUCCGAAUUUAGCCGUCAGAGGUGAAAUUCUUGGAUCUGCUAAAGACGGACAACUGCGAAAGCGUUUGCCCAGGAUGUUUUCAUUGA